rnacentral:rRNA from 1 species
AGUCUGGUGCCAGCAGCCGCGGUAAUUCCAGCUCCAAUAGGAUAUAUCAAAGUUGUUGCAGUUAAAAAGCUCGUAGUUGAAUUUCUGGAAGGUAGAAGUGUUUUUUUUAGAGAAGCAAUUUUUUAUGAAAAACACCGCUUUCCAUUUUGUGGAUUUCUGUUUUGUAUGAGAUAGUUUACUCUAUUUUAUAUAAAAUACCACUCCGUCACUGAGAGCAAAUUGGAGUGCUCAAAGCAGGCUUUAUUAGCUUUGAACAUUUUAGCUUGGAAUGACAAGAUAUGACUUUUGUUUUAUUUUGUUGGUUAUGAAAUAAAAGUAAUGAUUAACAGGAACAGUUGCGGGGGUACUCGUAUUGAAAGGUCAGAGGUGAAAUUCUUGGAUUCUUUCAAGACGAACGACUGCGAAAGCAUUUACCAAGGAUGUUUUCAUUAAUCAAGAACGAAAGCUCGGGGAUCGAAGAUGAUUAGAUACCAUCGUAGUCCGACGCCAUAAACGAUGCCGACUCGGGAUUAUUUUGUUAGUUUAAAAUAAAAAAGAACACAAAGUAGCACCGUAUGAGAAAUCAAAGUCUUUGGGUUCCGGGGGGAGUAUGGUCGCAAGGCUGAAACUUAAAGGAAUUGACGGAAGGGCACACCAGAGGUGGAGCCUGCGGUUUAAUUUGACCCAACACGGGGAAACUUACCAGGUCCAGACAUGAUGAGGAUUGACAGUUUGAAAGCACUUUCUUGAUUUCAUGGGUGGUGGUGCAUGGCCGUUCUUAGUUGGUGGAGUGAUUUGUCUGGUUGAUUCCGAUAACGAACGAGACGGGGUGAAUUUACUAGUUUGUUAUAUAAUUUACGUUAUAUAAGACUUCUUUAUUCGACAACUUGGUUUUACCAAGAGGAAGCGCCCCGCAAUAACAGGUCUGUGAUGCCCUUAGAUGUUCUGGGCUACACGCGCGCUACAAUGACGAAUUCAACGAGUUUCAAUUUAUUCCUUAUCCGGAAGGAUGUGGGUAAUCUUUUCAAUAUUCGUCGUGAUGGGGCUAGAUUUUUGCAAUUAUUAAUCUUCAACGAGGAAUCUCUAGUAUGUGCAAGUCAUCAGCUUGCGCAGAAUGCGUCCCUGCCCUUUGUACACACCGCCCGUCGCACCUACCGAUUGGACGAUCCGGCAAGAUGUUUGGAGUUGUUUUGAUUGUAGAGUAAUUUAUGAUGAAAAUGACAAAGCUCUUCAAACCUUAUCGUCUAGAGGAAGGUGAAGUCGUAACAAGGUCUCCGUAGGUGAACCUGCGGAG